rnacentral:rRNA from 1 species
GAUGAACGCUGGCGGCGUGCCUAAUACAUGCAAGUCGAGCGAACAGACGAGGAGCUUGCUCCUCUGACGUUAGCGGCGGACGGGUGAGUAACACGUGGAUAACCUACCUAUAAGACUGGGAUAACUUCGGGAAACCGGAGCUAAUACCAGAUAACAUGUUGAACCGCAUGGUUCAACAGUGAAAGACGGUCUUGCUGUCCCUUAUAGAUGGAUCCGCGCCGCAUUAGCUAGUUGGUAAGGUAACGGCUUACCAAGGCAACGAUGCGUAGCCGACCUGAGAGGGUGAUCGGCCACACUGGAACUGAGACACGGUCCAGACUCCUACGGGAGGCAGCAGUAGGGAAUCUUCCGCAAUGGGCGAAAGCCUGACGGAGCAACGCCGCGUGAGUGAUGAAGGUCUUCGGAUCGUAAAACUCUGUUAUUAGGGAAGAACAAAUGUGUAAGUAACUAUGCACGUCUUGACGGCACCUAAUCAGAAAGCCACGGCUAACUACGUGCCAGCCGCCGCGGUAA